rnacentral:rRNA from 2 species
GAUUUCUGGGCUCAAGAGUUUGGCCGGCCACGGUUUCGUGUGUUAGUGCUUUGCUCUGUGUCCAUCCUUCCAAUCGCUAUUGGCUAUUCUUCAUUGAUUGGUCAGUAGUAUUGGAUCUUUUACUUUGAAAAAAUUAGAGUGUUUCAAGCAGGCUUUAUGCUAUGAAUACAUUAGCAUGGAAUAAUAAUUUAGGACUUCGGUUCUAUUUUGUUGGUUUCUAGGACUGAAGUAAUGAUUGAUAGGGAUAGUUGGGGGUGCUAGUAUUCAGCGGCCAGAGGUGAAAUUCUCGGAUUCGCUGAAGACUAACUUAUGCGAAAGCAUU